GCGCGGGGCCGUCGGGCCUGGUGGCGUCCGGCCGGCUGGUGUCCGGUCCGGCGGUGUCCGCCGCCGUUUCGGCGCGGUCCGGGCCCGGGUCCGCGGUC
rnacentral:tRNA from 1 species